AGUCUGUUAGUAUAGUUGAAGGAUUUGGAAAAUUCCGCUAAAGAGGGUGAAAGCCCCGUAGACGAAAUGCUGACAACACCUAGGAGGAUCCUGAGUACGGCGGAACACGAGAAAUUCCGUCGGAAUCCGCGGGGACCAUCCCGCAAGGCUAAAUACUCCCUAGUGACCGAUAGUGAACCAGUACCGUGAGGGAAAGGUGAAAAGCACCCCGGAAGGGGAGUGAAAUAGAUCCUGAAACCGUGUGCCUACAACAAGUCAAAGCUCGUUAAUGAGUGAUGGCGUGCCUUUUGUAGAAUGAACCGGCGAGUUACGAUUGCAUGCGAGGUUAAGUCGAAGAGACGGAGCCGCAGCGAAAGCGAGUCUGAAUAGGGCGAAUGAGUAUGUAGUCGUAGACCCGAAACCAUGUGAUCUACCCAUGUCCAGGUUGAAGGUGCGGUAAAACGCACUGGAGGACCGAACCCACGUACGUUGAAAAGUGCGGGGAUGAGGUGUGGGUAGCGGAGAAAUUCCAAACGAACUUGGAGAUAGCUGGUUCUCUCCGAAAUAGCUUUAGGGCUAGCCUCGGAAUUGAGAAUGAUGGAGGUAGAGCACUGUUUGGACUAGGGGCCCAUCUCGGGUUACCGAAUUCAGAUAAACUCCGAAUGCCAUUCAUUUAUAUCCGGGAGUCAGACUGCGAGUGAUAAGAUCCGUAGUCGAAAGGGAAACAGCCCAGACCACCAGCUAAGGUCCCAAAAUAUAUGUUAAGUGGAAAAGGAUGUGGGGUUGCACAGACAACUAGGAUGUUGGCUUAGAAGCAGCCACCAUUUAAAGAGUGCGUAAUAGCUCACUAGUCGAGUGACCCUGCGCCGAAAAUGUACCGGGGCUAAACAUAUUACCGAAGCUGUGGACUACACCAUUAGGUGUAGUGGUAGGAGAGCGUUCUAAGGGCGUUGAAGGUCGAUCGUGAGGACGGCUGGAGCGCUUAGAAGUGAGAAUGCCGGUAUGAGUAGCGAAAGACAGGUGAGAAUCCUGUCCACCGUAUGACUAAGGUUUCCUGGGGAAGGCUCGUCCGCCC
rnacentral:rRNA from 1 species